UACGUAGUGGGCACGCGUUGUCCGGAUUUAUUGGGCGUAAAGAGCUCGUAGGCGGCUUGUCGCGUCGUCCGUGAAAACUUGGGGCUCAACCCCAAGCUUGCGGUCGAUACGGGCAGGCUAGAGUUCGGUAGGGGAGACUGGAAUUCCUGGUGUAGCGGUGAAAUGCGCAGAUAUCAGGAGGAACACCGGUGGCGAAGGCGGGUCUCUGGGCCGAUACUGACGCUGAGGAGCGAAAGCGUGGGGAGCGAACAGG
rnacentral:rRNA from 1 species